rnacentral:rRNA from 1 species
GACGAACGCUGGCGGCGUGCUUAACACAUGCAAGUCGAACGAUGAAGCGGGUGCUUGCCCUCGUGGAUUAGUGGCGAACGGGCGAGUAACACGUGAGUAACCUGUCCUUUUCUUUGGGAUAACGGCUGGAAACGGCUGCUAAUACUGGAUAUUCAGGCUGCAUCGCAUGGUGUGGUUUGGAAAGGUUUUUUCUGGGAUUGGGUGGGCUCGCGGCCUAUCAGCUUGUUGGUGGGGUGAUGGCUUACCAAGGCUUUGACGGGUAGCCGGCCUGAGAGGGUGGUCGGUCGCACUGGGACGGAGAUACGGCCCAGACUCCUACGGGAGGCAGCAGUGGGGAAUAAUGCACAAUGGACGAAAGUUUGAUGCAGCGACGCCGCGUGGAGGGUGUAGGCCUUCGGGUUGUGAAAUCCUUUUUCUCGCGAAAAAGGCACAGUUUUGGCUGUGUUGAUGGUAGUGGGGGAAGAAGCGCCGGCUAACUACGUG